rnacentral:rRNA from 1 species
ACAGCAGUAGCCACGGGAAUACGAAGGGGGCUAGCGUUGUUCGGAUUUACUGGGCGUAAAGCGCACGUAGGCGGAUCGAUCAGUCAGGGGUGAAAUCCCAGAGCUCAACUCUGGAACUGCCUUUGAUACUGUCGAUCUGGACUAUGGAAGAGGUGAGUGGAAUUCCGAGUGUAGAGGUGAAAUUCGUAGAUAUUCGGAGGAACACCAGUGGCGAAGGCGGCUCACUGGUCCAUUACUGACGCUCAUGCACGAAAGCGUGGGGAGCAAACAGGAUUAGAUACCCGCGUAGUCCCUGUCUCUUAUAC